rnacentral:lncRNA from 1 species
GUUGAUUUUAAAAAGAGACAAUAGCAAAGCAUACUUAUGUAACUGCUUGAUUGAUAUUAGAAUUCUGUACACCAGUGAGUUCGAUCCACCAAAAUUCCCCAUUUAAUAUCCAAGUUCUUCUUUGCUUUGAAUCGGGUAGGCCCGUAAGGUCCACUUCAAAACCCUUCAUUUUCCUACCCCAAGGUUUUGCAGAUUUUUAGAGAAUUCGAAAAAUACCAGGUUUGCCGUUUACACAUAAGAGAGUGGAGCGGACUUGGUUUUUGGGUCCCCGAGUCCUUAAAUCUCCCUCUCUCGCGUUAUCUCCAUAAGCGAAACCAUGUAUCUCUACAUACCCCUAUAGACACAAAUGUAUAAAUACAGUUGUUGUAUUGCGUUGAUAUACAGUACAUAUCCCAAUAUUCAUUUCGAUAUAAAAAUUACAGCUUUCAGCUUCGGAUCCAGGUGUAU